rnacentral:lncRNA from 1 species
CAGCUGUUGUGUCAUUUUUUAACGUCUCCCGGCCGAUCGUACGAGAACAUUAUGGUCAAUGCCAUAGUAGUUAAACACUCCCAUUCGUUGAAGCAGAGACUUUCUAAACUAAGUGUAUACUAGUUUAGAACGUCCCUGGUUGUAGUUAUAUAUGUUCCAGACCGUAUGAGUAUUUGGACCGUACGCGUACGGUCUGGACCGUAUGCGUAUAUUUUCAAAAUACGCAUACAGUCGGACCGAACGCGUACGGUCUGACUAAUAUUAAGAAGUUGGUCAUGUUUAUCAGAUACAAAUGUAUAUAACAGAUCAACAUAUCUUACAUCUCAAAUUAAUGUAAAAAGUUCAAUAGUAAUUGAAAUAAAACAAAAUAAUGUUAUAACUAUUUUAAAAAAAUCACGUUUAUUUAAUCUGUUAAUCUCCUGUAUUUAGCAUGUCAGUAAUUCAUAUAUUGAAGCCAAGUAUGCUAUUUAAAAUUGAAGUUAUCGGAAGUAAACUUAGAGUUGGAGGACAAUAGUUUUAGAAUAUUAAGGAACUUUACAAAAAAAAAUGCAAAGCAACGUGCAUGAACAAAUUAUGUUACUGUAAAAAAAAUAUGACGUUCUUUGUGGAAGUCAGUGUCACCUUGAGUACCAAAAUAGGAAUCACGGACAUAAAAAUAAACACAUAUUUAAUUUCAAUUGUUCGCUUAAUCAUUUCAUCCAUAUACAUGUAAUAAAAUCAAUUUGUACAACUAAAAAUAAUGAUUUUGAUAAAUAUUUGUAUAAAUUUAACCAAUAUGAUCCCAAAACAUCAGCUGGACCGUACGCGUAUACUCAUACGGUCCGACCGUACGAGUAUACGUAUACGGUCCAAAUACUCAUAUGGUCUGGAACAUAUACAUGUCUGUUCAGCUUUCAACGAUAUUAAAAUUCAAGGUCCUCGACAAAAAAAAU